UACGUAGGGGGCUAGCGUUGUCCGGAAUCAUUGGGCGUAAAGCGCGUGUAGGCGGCCCGGUAAGUCCGCUGUGAAAGUCGGGGGCUCAACCCUCGAAUGCCGGUGGAUACUGUCGGGCUCGAGUGCGGAAGAGGCGAGUGGAAUUCCUGGUGUAGCGGUGGAAUGCGCAGAUAUCAGGAGGAACACCGAUGGCGAAGGCAGGUCACUGGGCCGCAACUGACGCUGAGGAGCGAAAGCGUGGGGAGCGAACAGG
rnacentral:rRNA from 1 species